CACUCAGGGGCAACGAUGGGUAGCCGAUUUGAGAGGGUGAUCGGCCACACUGGAACUGAGACACGGCCCAGACUCCUACGGGAGGCAGCAGUGGGGAAUAUUGCGCAAUGGGCGAAAGCCUGACGCAGCAACGCCGCGUGAGGGAUGAAGGUCUUCGGAUCGUAAACCUCUGUCAGAAGGGAAGAAAAUGCACUGUGCUAAUCAGGAGUGCCUUGACGGUACCUUCACAGGAAGCACCGGCUAACUCCGUGGCAGCAGCCGCGGUAAUACUGAGGGUGCAAACGUUAUUCGGAAUCACUGGGCGUAAAGCGCACGUAGGCUGCUUUGUAAGUCAGGGGUGAAAUCCCACGGCUCAACCCUGGAACUGCCUUUAAUACUGCUUAGCUUGAGUCCGGGAGAGGGUGGGGGAAUUCCAGGUGUAGGAGUGAAAUCCGUAGAUAUCUGGAGGAACAUCAGUGGCGAAGGCGGCCACCUGGACCGGUAUUGACGCUGAGAUGCGAAAGCGUGGGAAGCAAACAGGAUUACAUACCCUGCUAGUCCACGCAGUAAACGAUGAAUGCUAGAUGUCGGACAAA
rnacentral:rRNA from 1 species